UUGAUGUAAUUACUUGGAAAAUUUUCACUGGGUUUCGUAAUCUAAACUUUAUUCAUGUUGUAUAAUGGUCUUUCAUUUGCUUCAUUGCUUGACUUAUGUUUUUUUUCUUAGAGUUCUUAGAAAAUGGUCCCAAGUUGUUGCCCACGACUUCAUUUCUGCUGCAUUAAAGCUUAGGCAUAACCGUCUUUCGUCUUGGUGUAAUUACUUGGAAUUUUUUCACUGGAUUUCGUAAUGUUGUAGAUUAAUUUUGGUUUAUGUUAUUUGGUUGACUAAGAAAAAGUAGAUGACCACUGCGGCACUGCCAAACCCAAUUUUAGGCAAGCCAACAAACGAAAGAGGGAAUCCUUUCAGUGGAACACCAUCGUUGCUGCACUUGAUGUUUAUUAUGUGUCCAUUGUUUUGUUUAAUUUAUAUUUCACCCAGUUUGAAGACCUAGACCUCAGAACAUACACCUUACAUGUUAUUUGUAUUGCGCAUAAAUUGUUUUUAAAUUUUAGUUUAUUUUUGGUUUUUCAAAAACGAUCACCAACUCCCAGGUGUUUCAGAGGCUCGGUGAGCAUCCUUGCCGAAUGCGAGACCUCAUCAUUGAAAAUCUCAGGAAACUUGCAUUUCCUACCUUGAAGGAGAUGGGGUUUUGUGAUCUACUGUCAGGUAGCCUACAUUUCUCACCUUAACAUGGGUUACAGGAUUAUUCUGGAUAUAAUAAUCUCUAAAGAUUUUAAUAGAUAUAUCUACAGGUAACUAAUUUAUGUAUUUCGGUAUUGAAUCUUUAUAUACAUUUGGCUAAAGUAUGACUAUAACGGUUGAAAAUCGUCCGUUGUUGGCAUUGAAUCCAUCGAUGCUAAUAUCUCAACCAUUAUCCAAUGGGUAAUCCAUAAAUUUCAAUAUAGCUUCUGGUCAAAUUCCCUUAUUGUGUUUCUUAACUAUGAUAUGCCUGUUAUUAGAGUUUCACAAACAAAGGGUGAUGGAGAAGGGAACGGGAAACUAAAUGCAUCACUGCAACCGGGUCUGUUCUAAUACACAUCGUCAUGGAGAAGGGAUAGCGACAUACCCCGGAAAAAGCCACUACUGAUAAAGUCUUAUUGCUAUAUCUGCUAAUAAUCUCUAAUUAGCUGGCGUAGCUGAGCCACACCAAAUCAAAACUGCAUUAGCAUAGAGCAAAGCGUAACCAAGACACACCAAAUUAAAUCGGGAGUCGGGACGCGGCGAGGCGAAGCCGAGCUUUACCAAAUCAAAAAUAUGGUUAUAAGAAUGGGCGAGGCGUAGCCGAGCCACACCAUAUAGGGACCGGGCUAGGCGAGGCGAAGCCGAGCUUUACCAAAUCAAAAAUAUGGUAAAAAAAAAAGAACUAUGACAUUCUAUUUGCAUUUGUAACUUUUGGAUUGAAUUGGCGAAGCAAGUUUACGUAGCUCCAGUUUACAGGUGGUCCAAAACCAAACUUAGCAGAUAUUUCUAUGGUGGAGCACAUCCGCAAAUGUAAUUAGUAUUCAAUAAUAGAAGGAUAGCUUCAAUGCAUGGACUACCGUAUGUGGUUGAAGCCAUAAAGCCAUAAAAUAUUUUCGGGAAUUUUGAUUAAAGUUGA